rnacentral:rRNA from 1 species
UGCCCUAGUAACGGCGAGUGAAGCGGCAACAGCUCAAAUUUGAAAUCUGGCUCUCGGGCCCGAGUUGUAAUUUGUAGAGGAUACUUUUGAUGCGGUGCCUUCCGAGUUCCCUGGAACGGGACGCCAUAGAGGGUGAGAGCCCCGUCUGGUUGGAUGCCAAAUCUCUGUAAAGUUCCUUCGACGAGUCGAGUAGUUUGGGAAUGCUGCUCUAAAUGGGAGGUAUAUGUCUUCUAAAGCUAAAUACCGGCCAGAGACCGAUAGCGCACAAGUAGAGUGAUCGAAAGAUGAAAAGCACUUUGAAAAGAGAGUUAAAAAGUACGUGAAAUUGUUGAAAGGGAAGCGUUUAUGACCAGACUUGGGCUUGGUUAAUCAUCUGGGGUUCUCCCCAGUGCACUUUUCCAGUCCAGGCCAGCAUCAGUUUUCGCCGGGGGAUAAAGACUUCGGGAAUGUGGCUCUCUUCGGGGAGUGUUAUAGCCCGUUGUGUAAUACCCUGGCGGGGACUGAGGUUCGCGCAUCUGCAAGGAUGCUGGCGUAAUGGUCAUCAACGACCCGUCUUGAAACACGGACCAAGGAGUCGUCUUCGUAUGCGAGUGUUCGGGUGUCAAACCCCUACGCGUAAUGAAAGUGAACGCAGGUGAGAGCUUCGGCGCAUCAUCGACCGAUCCUGAUGUUCUCGGAUGGAUUUGAGUAAGAGCAUACGGGGCCGGACCCGAAAGAAGGUGAACUAUGCCUGUAUAGGGUGAAGCCAGAGGAAACUCUGGUGGAGGCUCGCAGCGGUUCUGACGUGCAAAUCGAUCGUCAAAUAUGGGCAU